GGGAAGCUGACAAGCCCGCAGCCGGCAGCCAUGUGUUUCCAUUAGCGCCCCGAGCCGUCCGGGGCUUCUCUGGACUCUCAUUUUCCAGUUCACUCUUUUAUCUUGAUUUAAAGGACCGGCCAAGGCUGGAGCUUUGAGCUGCUGAGACAGACCACCUGCACAGGUUAUCACUGCCUCCCCACCUUGUCCCAACCAGCAUCCCAGAGGAGCGAUGGUCCUGGGGAC
rnacentral:lncRNA from 1 species